GGAUCCUGCCAGUAGUCAUAUGCUUCGUUCAAGGACUAAGCCAUGCAUGUCUCAGCGUACACGGCUUCGAACAGUGGGUCUGUGAAUGGCUCCUUACAUCAGCAGUCAUCUCCAUGAUAGAGUGUGGAUGGCACCACAUCUCCUCUGGCCAGGUGCCCGUCCGGACAUCCUCCAAAACCUAGUGGCUAAUACGCGUUUGCCCCUGUCCGCCACAGCAGUGACGGCCCCAGUGAUCAUCUGGUGCUAUGAUGAUAUGGUCCUUGCCAAGCCCACAGGCUGUUUCCAACCAGCCUCUUGCCUGACCAGCGGUGGAUGGCGCCCAGCCGCCAAGGAAGACCAGCGCCCUUCAAGGGCAGUGUUCUAUGGUUGAUUCAGGCUGGUCCGACACAUUGCCCCCAGUUGUUCCCAACGCCCAGCCGGGAGCCGUGGCCUCGCCACGUCCUGGCCUGGGUGGGUGGACACAAGCUUUCGCAGAGUGGUUGGCUGCCCCCGGCGGUCACAGCACUGCUUGAUCACACGAACUUCUGACCUAUCAGCCUCGAUGGUGGUGUAGUGGACCACCAUGGCAGUGACGGGUGACGGAGAAUCAGGGUUCGAUUCCGGAGAGGGAGCCUGAGAGACGGCUACCACUUCCAAGGAGGGCAGCAGGCACGCAAAUUGCCCAAUGCUGAGACGUUCUCUGGCGAGGCAGCGACGAACUGCAGCAAUCCCGUCCGUCCUCACCGACCAGCGGGACUUGGAAUGGAUGCAAUCCAAACACAGUGAUGAGUAUCAACUGGAGGGCAAGUCUGGUGCCAGCAGCUGCGGUAAUUCCAGCUCCAAGCGCGUAUACUAACAUUGCUGCUGUUAAAACACUUGUAGUCCGAUGCUGGGUCGCAGGUCUGCCUGGUGGCGGUGGGGACCACAUGGCCAUGUCUCCCUGCAUCGUCGUCCCCAUGCUCACCACCACGGGUCGCCCACGGCUCGCCAUGGCCCCAGUCAAGGGACCACGGUGGGUCCACGACUUCCCUUGGCGUGUGGUGUGGUGUGAUGGUGUGUGCUGUGGGCGUGGUCGGUCUCUGCCGGAUCACAACCCCAGGCAGUAUGUUCCUGCACCCGAUUGCCAUGACGGAGAAGAGUUGCCCCUGCUCAGAAGUCCCCUUCACUGGAGAUCGAUGCGGUUGUACACCCAACGCUUGUGUGUCUGACGCCAUUGAACCAGGGGCUUGGCCCCAAACCACCCUUCAUCGGAUGCUGUGCCAUGCACUUCCACCCUGGAGUCCCCCACCGGGGCCCUCCGUUGCCUGUCACCGUGGAGAACGCAGUGCGCCCAAAGCAGCCACAUGUCUUGGCUGAAUGUCCGUCCAUGGAAUGUCAGUGCAUCGACCAGAGAUGUUUGGCUCGGGGAGUUGUGCUGGGUUCUUGGUGCCCUUUCUGGGGAACGUGGCACCGUCCACGGUGAUGCAGACACCCAGCAUCAUCCCUGGCGUCGCCGUGGUGUCUGGGCGCUCCUGGACCACACCACCAUGAUGUGGGCUGGGGGAGUGCCGGCCAUGACAGGCGUCCAUGGGGUGUUGUGCCUUGGGUGGCUCCCCCCCUGUGUCGUCGCUGGACGGUGUCAAUCGCACACGAUGGGACUGCCUCGGGGUGAAAGAUACUGCAACGCCAGAGGUGAAAUUCUCAGACCGCUGCAAGAUCCACUGCAGCGAAGGCGUUCUGCAAGUGCAUGUUCGUCGAUCAAGAAUGUGAGUGUGGGGAGCGAAGAUGAUCAGACACCGUCGUAGUCCACAACUGUGAACCAUGCCGGCCCGGUGUUGGCAGUGCAAGUACACGGACACUGCCAGCGCCUGCCUCCCCCUGCACGAGAAAUCCAAGCCUGUGGGUUCAGGGGGGAGUACUGUCGCAAGGCUGAAACUUAAAGGAAUUGACGGAAUGGCACCACAAGGCGUGGAGUAUGCGGCUUAAUUUGACUCAACACGGGGAAUGUUACCAGGUCAGGACGCUGCUGGGAUGGACAGAUUGAGAGCUCUUUCUUGAUCCUUCGGAUGGUGGUGCAUGGCCGCUCCUGAUUGGUGGAGUGAUUUGUCUGGUUGAUUCCGAUAACGAGUGAGACAUCUGCCUCCCACUAGACCCGGUCUCGCAUCCCACCUCUGGUGUGGGACAAGGGACUGUCGUGGCGUUCACUGCUGCCGUUCCCCGGGCCUGGGUGUCCCAUCGGGUGUCCCACAACAGGGCCAUGUCCGUCCCCGUGGCUGAUGUGGUUCCUGUGGGCGUCCAUGGGUGUCUCCUCUCGCUCUGGGGCCGGUGGCACGCCGUCGAUGGACCCCAGAGGCAUCGGGAUCUCGCUUCUCUGAGGUGCUGUGCAGGCUUGCCAACUGCAUGCAUGCUAGAGCCAACAGCAGGUCUGUGAUGCUCCCAGAUGUCCUGGGCCGCACGCGCACUACAUUGGUCCGGUGAAUGUGUCCCUGCACUUGCCCUGUCAAGCCCUGCCUGGAAGUGGGUGGGAAACCCUGGAAGCCCGCCGAUGGCUCUGCCUCUUCUGCGACCGUACUGGGGAUAGAUGAUUGCAACUGUCUGCCUUGAACGAGGAAUGCCUAGUAGGCGUGGGUCAUCAGCCCACACCGAUUGUGUCCCUGCCAUUUGUACACACCGCCCGUCGUUGCUACCGAUGGCAGCAGGAUAGAGCCCCCUGGAGGCCCCACCCGGACGUCCUCUCCCUGUGAGGCGCCCGGGCCGAACUCGGGCAAUGUCCUGCGGCUAGAGGAAGCAAAAGUCGUAACAAGGUUGUUGUAGGGG
rnacentral:rRNA from 1 species